rnacentral:lncRNA from 1 species
GGCAGCUCAUUCUGAAUCUUAGUGCUUGCUUCCCUAUGGCAGCAAAUAAGAAUCUUGUGAGGAUUAAGGCUUUGAUAGCUAUUUUUGUCUUUAAACCUUGCAGAUUCAAUUACCUGUAGUCCACCGUAAUGUUACAAUUUGAUAAAUCUCCUGGAAUUAAUCAAUUCUCUUGAAUGGAUAUCUUUGGAAGUAACUUGUAUGAGGCACGUGGAAAAACUUACACUUGCUUGAAGAAACAGAAAAUCAGAACUAUCAGGAGGCUGGACAGGAGUCCCUCUGGAGUCCAGCAGCAAGGCUGUCAUCCAAGGAGUGAGCUGCAGAGUGAUGCAAGACACUCCCUUCCCUCAGGAUCUGAGCAGCUACCUCAUCUUGAAAGGAUUUUUUGCUCAAUGAUAUCAGCCUAGAGUGAAACAUGGAUCACUUGUCAGCAGUUAAUGAUGAUAUUUGCUUGCUUACCUCACAAGAUCAGCGCUAUAAAGUGUGAAACCUCACCCUUGAAAUAGAACUGCAUAAAGACAAAACUUAGUGUAAACUGUUGGCUUCUAAAGCUUAAAGCAGGAACAGUGGGAUAUUGGUUCCAUCAAUCCGAGAAUAUUUUCAGAACUUGGGGGAUAACACUGGCACAAGAAACAGUGGAUCAUAACAUUCAUGUGGAAUUCUUUUGUUGGAAAAACAGCACUUUCAAUCAUCAGUACUGUCAGUGUCUUUGGUCUCCUACAUUCCCUGCAGUUUUUGGCACUUUGCAAGGCCUCCUGACUUCUGCUCACUGCAGAUCUUGUACAGAUCCCUCAGUGAGCUGCUCCUCUUAAGUGCUGCUUGGCAACUCUCCUCAGUGAAAGGGAGCAACAAAUAAAAAUCCUGAUUUCCCUACA